rnacentral:rRNA from 1 species
GCUGGCGGCGUGCCUAACACAUGCAAGUUCGAACGGGGUAAUCCUUCGGGGUUACUUAGUGGCGAACGGGUGAGUAACGCGUGAGAAACCUGCCUUUCAGUGGGGGACAACAGUUGGAAACGACUGCUAAUACCGCAUAAUGUACACGGACCGCAUGAUCUGUGUACCAAAGCUUUAUGUGCUGAAAGAUGGUCUCGCGUCUGAUUAGCUAGUUGGUGAGGUAACGGCUCACCAAGGCGACGAUCAGUAGCCGGUCUGAGAGGAUGAACGGCCACAUUGGGACUGAGAUACGGCCCAGACUCCUACGGGAGGCAGCAGUGGGGAAUAUUGGGCAAUGGGGGAAACCCUGACCCAGCAACGCCGCGUGAAGGAAGAAGGCCUUCGGGUUGUAAACUUCUUUUAGCAGGGACGAAGAUCGUGACGGUACCUGCAGAAAAAGCAACGGCUAACUACGGGCCAGCAGCCGCGGUAAUACGUAGGUUGCAAGCGUUGUCCGGAUUUACUGGGUGUAAAGGGCGUGUAGGCGGAGAUGCAAGUUGGGAGUGAAAUCCCGGGGCUCAACCCCGGAACUGCUUUCGAAACUGCAUCCCUUGAGUAUCGGAGAGGCAAGCGGAAUUCCUAGUGUAGCGGUGAAAUGCGUAGAUAUUAGGAGGAACACCAGUGGCGAAGGCGGCUUGCUGGACGACAACUGACGCUGAGGCGCGAAAGCGUGGGGAGCAAACAGGAUUAGAUACCCUGGUAGUCCACGCUGUAAACGAUGAAUACUAGGUGUGGGAGGACUGACCCCUUCCGUGCCCCAGUUAACACAUAAAGUAUUCCCCCUGGGGAGUACGACCGCAAGGUUGAACUCAAAUGAAUUGACGG